rnacentral:rRNA from 1 species
UGCAGUCGAGCGAACAGACAAGGAGCUUGCUCCUUUGACGUUAGCGGCGGACGGGUGAGUAACACGUGGGUAACCUACCUAUAAGACUGGGAUAACUUCGGGAAACCGGAGCUAAUACCGGAUAAUAUUUCGAACCGCAUGGUUCGAUAGUGAAAGAUGGUUUUGCUAUCACUUAUAGAUGGACCCGCGCCGUAUUAGCUAGUUGGUAAGGUAACGGCUUACCAAGGCGACGAUACGUAGCCGACCUGAGAGGGUGAUCGGCCACACUGGAACUGAGACACGGUCCAGACUCCUACGGGAGGCAGCAGUAGGGAAUCUUCCGCAAUGGGCGAAAGCCUGACGGAGCAACGCCGCGUGAGUGAUGAAGGUCUUCGGAUCGUAAAACUCUGUUAUUAGGGAAGAACAUACGUGUAAGUAACUAUGCACGUCUUGACGGUACCUAAUCAGAAAGCCACGGCUAACUACGUGCCAGCAGCCGCGGUAAUACGUAGGUGGCAAGCGUUAUCCCGGAAUUAUUGGGCGUAAAAGCGCGCGUAGGCGGUUUUUUUAAGUCUGAUGUGAAAGCCCACGGCUCAACCGUGGAGGGUCAUUGGAAACUGUAAAACUUGAGUGCAGAAGAGGAAAGUGGAAUUCCAUGUGUACCGGUGAAAUGCGCAGAGAUAUGGAGGAAACACCAGUGGCGAAGCGACUUUCUGGUUCUGUAACUGACGCUGAUGUGCGAAA